rnacentral:rRNA from 1 species
AUACGUAUGUGGCGAGCGUUAUCUGGAAUUACUGGGCGUAAAGGGUGCGUAGGUGGUUUCUUAAGUCAGAGGUGAAAGGCUACGGCUCAACUGUAGUAAGCCUUUGAAACUGGGAAACUUGAGUGCAGGAGAGGAGAGUGGAAUUCCUAGUGUAGCGGUGAGAUGCGUAGAUAUUAGGAAGAACACCAGUGGCGAAGGCGCUUCUCUGGACUGUAACUGACGCUGAGGCUCGAAAGCGUGGGGAGC